CAACCUUCCCAUAACUCUGGGAUAGCCUUUCGAAAGAAAGAUUAAUACCGGAUGGUACUUUUUCAAGGCAUCUUGAGAAAGUUAAAGAUUUAUUGGUUAUGGAUGGGGAUGCGUUCCAUUAGAUAGUUGGUGAGGUAACGGCUCACCAAGUCUUCGAUGGAUAGGGGUUCUGAGAGGAAGGUCCCCCACAUUGGUACUGAGACACGGACCAAACUCCUACGGGAGGCAGCAGUGAGGAAUAUUGGUCAAUGGGCGAGAGCCUGAACCAGCCAAGUAGCGUGAAGGAUGAAGGUCCUAUGGAUUGUAAACUUCUUUUAUAGUAGAAUAAAGUGACCCACGUGUGGGUUUUUGUAUGUACACUAUGAAUAAGGAUCGGCUAACUCCGUGCCAGCAGCCGCGGUAAUACGGAGGAUCCGAGCGUUAUCCGGAUUUAUUGGGUUUAAAGGGUGCGUAGGCGGAAUAAUAAGUCAGUUGUGAAAGUUUGCGGCUCAACCGUAAAAUUGCAGUUGAUACUGUUAUUCUUGAGUGUACAUAAGGUAGGCGGAAUUCGUGGUGUAGCGGUGAAAUGCUUAGAUAUCACGAAGAACUCCGAUUG
rnacentral:rRNA from 1 species